UGGGGAAUAUUGGACAAUGGGCGCAAGCCUGAUCCAGCCAUGCCGCGUGAGUGAUGAAGGCCCUAGGGUUGUAAAGCUCUUUCACCGGUGAAGAUAAUGACGGUAACCGGAGAAGAAGCCCCGGCUAACUUCGUGCCAGCAGCCGCGGUAAUACGAAGGGGGCUAGCGUUGUUCGGAUUUACUGGGCGUAAAGCGCACGUAGGCGGACUUUUAAGUCAGGGGUGAAAUCCCGGGGCUCAACCCCGGAACUGCCUUUGAUACUGGAAGUCUUGAGUAUGGUAGAGGUGAGUGGAAUUCCGAGUGUAGAGGUGAAAUUCGUAGAUAUGCGGAGGAACACCAGUGGCGAAGGCGGCUCACUGGACCAUUACUGACGCUGAGGUGCGAAAGCGUGGGGAGCAAACAGG
rnacentral:rRNA from 2 species